CAGUAGCCGCGGGAAAACCAGCACCUUGAGUGGUCAGGAGGUUUAUUGGGCCUAAAGCAUCCGUAGCCGGUUGCAUAAGUUUUCGGUUAAAUCUAUGCGCUUAACGUAUAGGCCGCCGAAAAUACUGUGCAGCUAGGAAGUGGGAGAGGUACACGGUACUCGAUAGGAAGGGGUAAAAUCCUUUGAUCUAUUGAUGACCACCUGUGGCGAAGGCGGUGUACCAGAACACGUUCGACGGUGAGGGAUGAAAGCUGGGGGAGCAAACCGGAUUAGAUACCCCCGUAGUCCCUGUCUCUUAUAC
rnacentral:rRNA from 1 species